ensembl:lncRNA
UGAACAGAAACUUCUCAUGGAAGAUUUUCCAGCAUACAAAACUGAUAUAAUAUUAUUUGGCUCAAAAUCACUUUUCAUCAGACUUCCACACUUUUUUGUUCUGUUUUGUUUUCCAGGAUUGGGCUUUUCCUUGCUCUUUUCUUACAGUGGUAUCUUUUGGAGGCCAGUUUCCUUCCUGCUAUAGGACUACACGGCUGCCCUCUGGAACAUCAGAUCUCACAAAUGCCAUUUUAAUCUCCACAGGAGAAUGACACCAGCCUUCAUGGAGUUUACAUUCUUUGGAAAUAUCAAGAGUGAUGCUGGACAAGACUACGGAGGAAACUGAGACUAGGGAUGAGGUUCGUACCUACCCCAUAUGAGCUUCUCUCUACUAUCAAGAAUGGUUAAGUGAUAAAAGCUGCAAUUCUACUUUCAGAACAAGGUUCCUUUCACUGGAUAUGCAGAAAACCAUCAAGUGUAAGAGCAUAUGGACCAAAACACUGAAUAUUUUUGGUGGCUUUUUUCAAGCGUUCAUUGUAGAGUUUUUUGGUUUUAUUGUAUUUUGUUUUAUCCAGCCUCUAAAAUGUUCCCAAAAUGCAUGUCAUUGUUUCUUCCUCUCUAUAUUUUUAACCAGAAAGCAGAUCUUCUCUCUUUGGGUUUUACUGAGGAGGGGCAGGUGCCCCUAGGAAACAGUUGACUUGCAGAGAGUUAUAUGGGAAUUGUAUAAUUGCGUACAAGUGAGGGGAAGAAAGCACACAAAUCUGCUUCUCUGCAGUCAUAGUUUUGUCAAAAGUCAACUAAGGGAACAAUUUCAAAUUGCCAUCUGUCUUUGUCACUAUCUCUGCCUCAGAAGCGGGUCAAAGACUGCCUGCUGGGGAGAAAAUACAGCAAAAGGGUUAACCCUACUAAUAUGAUUACUACUAAUAAAUAAUUCAUUGCUACCAUAAUGCAAACUGAAAGAGGCUAAAACUGGAGCAGCACAUGGCAAUCCCACUGCUUGAAGGCUGGCUUGUUCAGGAAGUCAUGAGGGCUAAAACCCAGAGCAGAAGGCUGAGCUGUCAUGUGCCAAUGGACCCCAGCCACCAAAGCUACUGCUGUGCAUCUUCAUUAGCACAUUCCCAAAAGCAAAUGCAUCUUCCAACCCCUCCCAGGAGACCUGAUUUUUGGCAGGAACCGCUUUUUGGCAGGGGAUGGUCCUGCAGUCCGGCCGCAGUGGGGGGCCCCGGCUGCAGGUCUGCCCCCGCGGGGGUCUCCAGGUGGGAGAUGGUAACGGGGAUUUCAGCUGGCCUUGGACUGCAGCUCUUCCUCUCGGCAUCCUUUCCAUGUGGGCAGGAGAACAAAUUUACCUUAAAAACAAAACAUAGGUUGGAAGUGAACGAGGCCCUACGAGAAUCACUACAGGAGCCAGGUGUAUUUUCCUUUGUCUCCUCAGCCUUGAGAGACGAGCGGGACGAUGCCGCACACCGGCCCCGGCGGCUGCACCAUCCCGGGGCAGGGCUGCUCCGGCCCAAGCGGCACGGAGCUGCUCCCAAAACUCUCCGGAAUCCCUCCCCACCGUCCGGGGUCCCUUCCUUUGCAGAGGGAGGGCACACGAGUGGCAGGCGGCAGCUGCCCUGCUCGAGCGGGACCGACGGACCGGCGCGGCAGCGGGAGCCAGAACCAAGCCAGGGGCUUUGCAGAUAUUCCCUUCCAAAGCGCAGAGAAAAGGGAUUACACUGAAUUAUCAAGUACCCCGCAAUAUUCUGCUUCGAUUCACGCUUCAAAUAAAUUACUUUUCUAAUAAUCCAUUAACUGCUUUAACGACCAGUGUUACUUAUUCACCAGUGCUCCGUGAAAGUUACUUAUUUGAAAAUUCUUUGCGAUUUCCAGUUGCUCUCCACAUAACAUGCACUAUUCGAAGAAAGCAAGAGGGCUUUCAAACAGGAAAACACAGAGUUAGUCCCUCAUUUCUCAAGACCAGCACGGCACUGGGGCUCCUAGUUUUAUUUUUAAUACAAAGAAAAUUAUUUUCCCCCUUGCUAAGCGCUCACUGUUCCCGUGGAUCUCCCUGGAAGGUGCUGGGUGCUGAAGCCUUAGGAGAAAACGGGCCACCUUCCGAGAAAGGCCUAACUACGGACUUAAACAGCCUCACUUGAACAGCCCACAUUAACAAGCAAUAAACCCUACGACUUCGUUUCAAUCCCAAAUUCACUGUACCACGCUCAAAGGAUGACGUAAACAAUGUGAGCACUACAGAAAGUGUGCGAAAGUUACAGCCGAAAAGGGAAUUAAAAAAAAAAAAAAAAAAAAAAAAAAAAAAAAAAAAAGGGCUCUCAUAACGGAAAAAUGCUUUUAGGAGAUGUGACAGCCGCGCUCUGGAGCAGGACCUGCAGACUCGUGCGUUCCCUGAGGAAGCACAGCCAGCGCGCUCCGACCGCCGUCCCACGGACACCGCAGCGUUACACGGGGUGUAAAUCCCGCUGCCCCGGCACCCACCUGCGGGGGAUGCCCAGCACAAGGACCGCCAGCUGAGAACCAAAACCGCCGGGGGGGAGAGCCCAGGGCGCCCCCGACUCCCACCAGUUAUUUUUAUCCGCGUCCGGCCUUUCCAACUCAUCAGAUAUUCGCUGCGAGGCGGAGCAAUAGAAGAGCACCCUCAGAACUCAGCCGGGCUCGCAGGGACACACAGAGCCCAGCACCGGGAGUGAGCAGCCCGCGGCACCAACAGGGACGCAGGCAGGGCUGCGGCAUCGGGCCCGCACACUGCCCUCCCUGAUCGUAAAAUUAGCAACAGAAAGAGUUAAUUACCCAAACCCCAAAUAUUGUGGAGAUCUCAGUAAAGCAAAGAAAGAAAAUUAAAAACCAACAAAAAUACACCCCCAAAUACCAGCCUAGGACAGGCGGGCAGCAGCGCAGCGCUGCUGGCUCACGGAGACUGAGCUCGGAUUACCCUCCGCGACGCUUCCAGCACGGAGGGAAGGAACCUUCUUUUUGUCGUUGUUGUUGAUUUGGUUUUGGUUUUUUUAAAAGUUUAGUUAGUUAGUUAGUUAGUUUCCCCCCCUGCAAUGUCUCUUCUCUUUUCUGCACGAAUCAGCAACCCCGUCCCCGUGCACUAGGCCCUGCAGAAUCUUCCAAAACAGUUUAAUAAGGGGUAAACCCGGGAUUGAGAUAUUCUGAUUGACAUUUAGUUUUUAUACAUAUAAAAUCUAUAAAGUACAGAUUAUAUAUUUAUACGCACAUAUUAAAAUAUAUAUCUAACCUCCCUCCAGCCUUUUUCAAUAUAUCGGGAAAAAAUCAGACUCGAGGUAAUGCAAAGUCAGUAAAAUGAGCAGCUUUUCUCUGGCUCUGUCUGACAGGCUUUGUCUUUAUGUCUGCGUCAGACAGUGCUCAGUCUAAACCAACGGGAUUAACCAGGACGAUCCCCGGGUGAUCCUGAGCAGCGUGACAAACCGCAGUGAUAAAAUAUGACGGUGCCACUCUCUGCAAACACCUCGGGAUUGUUUUACAGUGGUACAUCCCCGGCUAUCCCUCUGCUCGUGACUGCCGGCCGCGGGGCUGGCUGCAGGAAUUAAAAUCCACCAUCGCACCCGGGGAAAGUUUUAAAUCCCAGGAUUCGCUUUCCUCUUCACGAACAGUAAAAAAAUUCAGGUGUGGCGAUGAGCUCGCAUGUAAAAACCGUGACGGGGGGGGGGGGGGGGGGGGGGGGGGGGGGCAAAGCAAUUUUUUGAAGUUAUUUUUAAAUAAAAAAUGUAGUGUUCAGGAGUAGCGAUAAACUCAUGUAAAAAUCGUGACACGGGUGCAAUGCAAGUAUUUUUAAACAAUCGGUAUGGGUUUCUCAAAAGGAUUAGUAUGAUUUCAGCAACCUUGUCUUCGAAAUACACUUCGGGGGCCCGGAAUGUUACGUGCUGGGUUACUCGAAAGGGAAAAGACGCACCGGGACGCUGUGGAUGUUAGCAUUUUGGUGAAUUUUUGUUAGACCCAAAGAGAGGAGCCCCGGGGAGGGGGGAGAGCAGGCGGUCCCUGCACACAGCGCCACACAGCCAGCCUCGCCAUUUUACACAGCCACCGCUCCUGCGCAUUAAACGGGACAACGGAGGACGGGGUGGGAUUAGCUCCAGGAGUGGCACAAGCGUUCAUCCGGGGGCUGCGGAGGAGCCGAGGAGCCCCCAGAGGGGCAUGCGAGCACACAGAGCCCUGCGCCCACCGCGCCCCUUCAGCGCUGCUUCCGGAGAGCGCCAAGAUUUAAAAAAAAAAAACCUUGGUGACAACGAGGGAGGAGAGCCGCGACCUCUUCCAGUUUGUGUUUCCAGGCACGGCCCUCCAGCCUAACACGCCCGUGUCCCCUGGUGGAGGGGGUACCGAAAUGAAGAUGUCUGUGGGCCGCGGGGUCCUGCCCCCCACGGCGGAGAGGGCUCUGCGCUUCCCCAACCGGGAUCCCACUGUCCGACACCCGUCCCGCGGCCUCCCGGCCGUGCAAGCCUGCUCGGCCCGCAGGGGAGGGCGGGCUGAAGGCGGCGGGGGCGGUGGCUGAGGACGGCUGCCUGCGGGGAGAGCCCAGAGAAAAUGGAGGCAGGCGGGUUGGCUGCAUGGCGGCAGCGGGGCGGCCGAGGAGCGGUCUGAGCUUCCUGCUAAGGUGGGAGCGAGUGAGCUUCCCCCCGCCCGUCUGGGCUUAACCGGGACUCGGCAGCCACACACCGCCCGAGCCGCUCCGGGCUCCGGACACGGCGUGGCCCCGCACGGCACGGCCCUUAAAGGCGGCCGCGGGGCCGUUCCAGAACGUUCCCCGCGCGCGGGCUCUGCCAGCCUGGCAUGGCGGGCGGUGGGCGCCCCCUGCUGUCCUCAUGCAGCGGUCACGGCCCUCCGGGGCGCCGGGACAGUUAAACACGUAAAAUUUAGUAAUUCUGUGGGGAAAGCGUCGUCUUUCAACUCUGGCUUGGCAUCCUGCAGUGUAUACGCCGGCCCCCCAGCACCUGCUGAGUGUAUAAUUUAUGUCAGGAUUUUGUAAAAUUUUUAAUUUAGCAGUGUAAAUCAAAAGUGCCGAGUUGCCAAGUAAAAUGAAUGUUGAGUUAAACUCAGUUGACCAGUGCAAUACAGCUUCUAUCACUUUUUUUUUUUCCUUUAAAAAUACGUGCCUGUUUUAUCACCCCUUUAUGGUGGUUUAUGGUUCCUUUAAAUGUUGAAUAUCAGAUCGCAAAUACCAAAAAUGUAAAUCCGGUUUGUCUAAUCUGGAGUUUAAAAUAUUCUUGUGAUGUCACAAAGUGAUGGCUUAUAAAAUAUUUUCAUUUAAUUAGGAAGCGCUAAGAGGAUUUCUGCAAGAAAAAAAAUAAAGGCGAGGAAGCUCAGUUUGAAUUAUUUAUGUGCUGUGAGCUAUCAUGAUUGCUGCUGCAGCUUUUCAAGUACAAAAAUGCAGGAUUUGCUCGCUUUUCAUUUUUAGAACCUAAUUCUUUAAUUAUUCAGGCAUGCAAAUUACUGUGAAGAGGGAUUAAUUAUGCAGGUAAUCAAGGUUUUAUUCUAAGUUUACUUUUAAAAAGCAAAGAUUGGCUGAUACUAUGAACAGUGUUGCUGGGCUUGUGCACUGAAAUACUCCUUUAAGGUAUGAUAACAAUCUGGGAUUUCAUGGAAGUAAAAGGAGUAGGGAUGAAUUUGUGCCUUGCAUAAGCCAAGGAACACAAUGCAUGACAUAAAUCUUGCUGUCCUGCGAGAGAGAAGGAUCUCCUUCCUCAGGACCGAGCACUCAUCAUCCUGUUUCUUCUUACAGAAUCAUAGAAUAUUCCACGUUGAAAAGGACCCACAGGGAUCAUCAAGUCCAACCCCUGACUCUGCACAGAACACCCCAACAAUCCCAUGCUGUGCCUGAGAGUGUUGUCCAAACACUCCUGGAGCUGUGGUAGCCAUGGCCAUUCCCUGGUUCAGUGCCCGACCACCCUCUGCGGGAAGAACCUUUCCCUGAUAUCCAGCCUGACCCUCCCCUGACCCAGCUCCAGCCGUUCCCUCGGGUCCUGUCCCUGGUCACACAGAGCAGAAAUUGGAGCUGUCCCUCCAUUGCCCCUUGGGAGGAAGCUGCAGACCCUGGUGAGGUCUGACCUCAGUCUCCUCCAG